ensembl:lncRNA uncharacterized LOC111197441
CGUACGCAUGGGAAAUGAGACUGGGUUGGAAAAAUUGCGCAUCUGAGCCUAGCAUAGCAUAUCAUAUCCAGGCAAUGGUGGCCGAUUGUGUUCAGCUCCGCUUGAAUAGUGAACUGGCAGCAGUACUCUGUUAAAAACACAGUAACAAGAGCUGUAAUUAAUACCUACCGAAAUUGGACGAAAAUGUUAUUGAAACGUUCUUAUCACAGUAAUUAUUGAUAUCAAAUUAUUGUCCAGGCCUACUUAUACAAUUGAGUGCAGUUUUGGUAACAACUUUUGUUCACACACACUUUGUAUUAUUAAAUAAAAUACCGGAAAUCAAAUUUGGUUUAUUUAUGUAUUUAUUUUCAUUUGUGUUUUAGAUUAGCGGAUUCAUGAGCACUCAACUUCUGUGUGGACCAUCUAGGUCUACAAUUGAGCGACGAACAAAAUCUAAUGUUCAGGGAAUACUGGCUCAAAUAGCAGAGGAGGAGAAAAAGCAGUGUUGUAUAGCCAGCUCAGAGCCUUUCCUGUGUGUCACAGAUGCAUCACAUUCUGGCAUCAAUCAGAGUUACAUGUGUGAAGUUGAUGUCGCAGUAGAUAAUUACAGUGAUGAUGAGGAGGAGGAGGGUGAAAGUGAAAGUGGUUUCCCGUUAAGUGAGAUGCAUGAAAACAUUGAUAUCGAUUUGCCUGUGGAAGAAGAAGACAUUGAGACGCCUUUGAUAACCAGACUUAAAAACUGGGCUUUGAAGUACAGCAUUUCUCUUGUGGCCCUCACAGCAUUGUUGAGCAUCUUAUGCCUUUAUCAUCCAGAGGUGCCCAAAGAUGCCAGAACUCUUUUGAGGACGCAGCGAUGCACCACUAUGGAAGAAAAGGCAGGAGGACAGUACUUUCAUUUUGGCAUUCUAGAAGCAAUGAGAAGACAGCUGUCAAAAUGGAGUCAUUCACUGAGAGAUGGAACAUCUCUUGGUCUACAAAUAAAUGUUGAUGGGCUACCCCUUUUUAGAAGUUCUACAGAGCAAUUUUGGCCAAUACUGGGGAAGCUACUUGAUUUAAAACAUCAGUCACCAUUUGUGAUUGGCAUUUUUUGUGGAAAAACAAAGCCAACAUCAAGCAGUGAAUUCAUGAGCAGUUUUGCGGCAGAUCUAGAAAAGCUCUUUCAAGGUUUUGUUUUCCAGGGUAAGAAAUUCACCUUACAGCUCUGCUCAGUUGUGUGUGAUAAACCUGCUCGUUCCUUCUUGAAAAACGUCAAAGGCCACAACGCAUUCCAAGGAUGUGACAAAUGCACUCAAAGAGGGAAGUAUCUUAAUUGCCGAAUGUCUUUUCCAGACACAAGUUUUGUCUUGAGAACUGAUGCUUCCUUUGAGCAAAUGACGGAUGAAGACCAUCACAUCAGUCCCCCACCCUAUCUUGGGCCCAAUGUAGGAUUCAUAUCUAACUUUCCUGUAGACUACAUGCAUUUGGUGUGCUUGGGAGUUUGCAAAAAGUUGCUUAAUCUUUGGAUUAAAGGGCCUUUGAGUGUCCGUCUUCCAUCCCGCCUUGUGAAGGCUUUGUCCAGUUCUUUAACAGGCCUGAGAAGUUUCAUUCCUUGUGAAUUUGCAAGGAAACCCAGAGGACUCAAUGAAGUGGACCGAUGGAAAGCUACAGAAUAUAGGCAGUUUCUGCUGUACACAGGUCCUGUUGUUUUGCAUACAGUCUUGAACACUGCUGUGUACAAUAACUUUAUGCUGCUCUUCACAGGAAUUACAAUUUUAGCAAAUCCUGCUUUGUGCCAGAAAUAUAACGAUUAUGCACAAAGACUACUGACUUCUUUUGUACAACACUUUGGGGAAGUUUAUGGGACAGAUUUAAUUGUUUAUAAUGUACAUGCCCUUCUUCAUUUGGCUGAAGAUGUGAAGAUCCAUGGUCCUUUGGAUUCAUUCUCUGCGUUUCCAUAUGAGAACUACAUGAACAACCUGAAAAAUAUGAUCAGAAAACCAGAGUUUCCACUAGCACAAGCCGUCCGUCGACUGUCUGAGCAAAUGUCUGCUCCAUGUGAAAUGGAUUUUGUGGAGAUGGAGUUUAAAAAAGAACAUUUCAAUGGGCUGGUGACAGCGAAUCUUGUAGCCAAGAGGCAGUUUCAGGAAAUUCAUUUGGCAGAAUUUUGCCUCAAGCUUAAGGAUGGUGACAAUGCAUUCUCCACUGAAGAUGAAAUUUGCUUGGUGCAAAAUAUUGUUCAAUCAGAAAAUGGGAAUUUUAUUAUAUGCAAACGAUUCAGUCACAAAUGUCCCUUUUUCAGUUAUCCAUUUGAUUCAACCACGUUAGACAUAUACACAGUAUCAAAUCUUUCAGAUUUGCUGUACGCUGUUCAAUUGGACAAAAUUAAGUCAAAGUGUGUUCUGCUUCCAUUCAGAAAUGUGCAUAUUGCAUCACCGUUGAUUCAUUUCAGAAAAUGUACAUACUAG